rnacentral:lncRNA from 1 species
UUAUGGAGUGCAUUUGGCUAAAAGUCUGUUUUGGGCUUACUAAAGGGAAUGCCUUCAUAGUAAGUAGUGUUUCCUCUGUUAAAACUGUGAACUGCUGUGGUUAGACCGUGAUUAGUGGUGACAAGUCUUGCUUUUAAAACUUUUUUUGAUAUUGGUAAGGCUUCUUGUUUUGUUGUUGUUGUUGCUAUUGAUUUUAUUUUGUUUUUGUUUGUUGAUUUUCGCAGUGAUCAGUUACUAAACUACCACAGAGCCACACCCCCACCCCAGGUUUUCAGUUUCAUGAAUCUUUUCUUGAUGGAAGACGUCAUGCUUGCUUCAGAUGAACUGUGUUUUAUAGUAAGAGUAGUCAUCAGGAGGCACUUUUAUUUGGUUGGUGCUUUGCAUGGUAACAAAAUAGUGAUAUUUGGAUAAAAAUUUAGGCCAGAGGUAAGAAUUUUCUAAUUCUUUUUAAGUCAUGUUUCAUAGGAACUCCCCCAGUUGUGUUCAUGUCCAUGGGUCAGACCAAAAUGUGUUCCAGUGCCUAGGACGCAUUCUGAGUGGAUCAGUCCGUUUCAGUGAUUUAACUUGUAUCACUAUUAAACUGUAUGCAAUUCUGCACAUCAGCUGUAGUCAGCUCUCUGCUUGAAGAAGGCUCCUGUCAGCUUCUUCCUAAAUGUUAGUACAGAUGUCAUUCUGUUAUACUAUCCGCCAAGAUCUCCCACAACUUUUUUAUUUUGGGGGAGGCACAGAAUUGAUUUUCUUGUUCUGAGUUUGGGUUCAUUCCUGUCACGGUCACUGAGCCAAGGCAAGUAGACCUUGCCUCUUCAGUCUUAGUCCUGCGGGCGUCUGCUCAGAUUCUCUUCCAUAUUCAAAAUGCCCUGGAAAAGCUUCACUGUUUUAAUACGUCCUAGAUGUUCAACUGAAGCAGAGCGAAGAAAUGGCCCUCCCAGCCCCAUCCACCUAAAACAAAACCAGCAGCUGCUGCUACAGCCAUUAUGAAAAAAUAACACAAACUCUUCUUAAAAAAUAGAUCACACAGAAAGAACUGAGGGCAGAUGCACCUGGGGGGAGGGGGGGGAGGGCUGCCCCAGCCACGGGGAGAGGCCUGGGUGCUGAGAUGACCCUGCAGGGCUGGGGUGCUAGUAGGUGGCUGCCUCCUUCCUUCUGCCUAGCCUCUGUAGUGUGGGCUGGAUCCCAGGCAUCUUCUGCCCUCUCCCCUGAGGGAUCCUGGCCCCUGCUGAGGACUGGUACCUAUUUCUCAUUAAAGUGGCUUUGAUCAGGAAAUGAGAUGGACACCAAGCAUGAGUGAGGGCCACUGCCUGGCUACAUGUCUCCCAGCUUUUUAGAAAUUAACAAAGUUGCUUUUUAAAAAAUGAAAUUUAGCCUACCUAAUUAUACUCUGCAUUCUGUUACCUAUAGCUAAUCUUGUUUUUUUCCAUUACUUAAUGAUUGAUUGGUGUUCAAUUUCAAAAGUGUUCCAAGCUCCACAGUGUUGGGAUGAGGAUGUUGCCGUUAUUUUUGAGAAAAGGAUCGUAAGAUGUGCAUAACAUUGUAGGUAGCAUGGUUUUGUGCAGUGAACACACAAGUAACUACAGGAGCUGCACUCUUCACAGUUUGAACUGACAGUGCUGGCAGACCCUUAAAGCAGAGUCUUCUGACACACGAAUGAAAGGAAAUAUUUGCUUCUAAUAACAGUCUGAGCAUUUAGAUCAUACUUUUAAGUAUUUAAACACACCAUUGUAUAUGGCAAGCAAACUUUUAAUUUUAUUUUUAGCAAGUUUAUUUCUCUUUGAAAUUGUCAUUCUACAUUAAUAACAUAAAGAUUUUAAACUAGAACCAUACUGAACUUUUUUAAUGAUAAGAUGAAAUGGACUUUAAAGGAAAAAUUAUUUAAAACUUUGUUAAUAAGCCUCAAUAGCAUAAAAUACUAAUGUUAAUCAAAAUACUUCUAAGUAUUUUUAAAGUACUUUAAAAAUCUCCAUCGGGCUAAUUCCUAUGUAUUUCUUUUCCAGGAAUAUUAUUCUUAAUAGCAUAAGCUUAUUAAGACUAAAUGGAAGUUGAAGGAUUAGGCACACCUAGAGCAGUGGCUUCACCGUUUGAUUCUCAUUUCUCUGUGGUUUCCACCUCUUAUCAGGAGCUGCCCUGGAAAGGAUCCGGUCAUGCUGCCUGCCUCUUUUCAUCUGUCAUGAUGGAUUUCAUCCCUUUCACGGGCCUCUCCAUCCUCUCUUUCCACAUGGGUUGUGAGCCCAGCAUUCCUGUCUCUGGCUUCCUGGGCCACUGCUCUAAGUUUCUCUUCAUGCUUCUUUUCUUUUUGAGUCAUCUUACUUUCUACUUGGGCUUGCAUUUCCACUGCUGCUCAAGCCUUCUGAUCAGCAAUGUAUAGUGUUUCAGCCAGUUUGGCAAAUUUUUCACUUAUAUGGACCAUCUGAAGUCCUCUUCCAUCAGCAGCUAGCCAUUUAUCUAAUGGAAUGGUAUACCCCUUAGAGUUCUUCCACUUGGAAAUACAAGGAGGGAUUUUCCACUUCUGCUGUUUCUUUACAGUCAUCUUCUGAAGAGGAGAGUGCAUUACAAGUGCAGGAGGAGAUGAUGGUCCCUGAGGGAUUUUCGUAUUAACUUUGAAUCUUGGAUGCUCCAUUUGGUCUUUUUGCAUUUCUGCUAUCCAGUUAACCCUGUUUCGCUCCAGAAUUGAAUGGUACUCCUUCUGAUGUGGUGUGUCACUGGUGAGCUGAGACAUGAAAGAUGACUCAUUCUUUCUGAGAUAGGGUUUUUCUGUGUAGUCCUGGGAGCUCUGGAACUCUAGACCAGGUUGGCCUAGAUCACAUACCCGCUUGCCUCUGUCUCCCAAGUCAAAGGCAGCAAGGAGAGACUACUGUCCAUACUGAACUUUUAAUGAGUCUCUGGCUAUACUUGUGAGUAACCAGCUUCAGUUACGUGAAUACUGGGGACUAAGUGAUAAUUUAUGUGUAAGACUGCUUUGUAUGUUUUGUGGUUUUGUAAUGUAAGUAAAUUGAUUAACUUUUAUUUCACUGAUAUUAACCAAUUGUGCAGUGUACAAUUAAACAUUCAGUAUCCCUCUUUAGAAUUGGGUUUGUGAUCAUGGUGUGGCUUGUGGAGCAGAGGACUUACUUUCUCAUUUGUCAAAAUAGGUAUUUGCAGACAAGGCUUCGAGAAAUAUGUCGUUGGAUUUUUUAAAUGUAUAAUAAAGUCCAUGAUUUUUAUACAG